CCUACGGGUGGCUGCAGUGGGGAAUAUUGGACAAUGGGCGAAAGCCUGAUCCAGCCAUGCCGCGUGUGUGAAGAAGGCCUUCGGGUUGUAAAGCACUUUCAGUGGGGAAGAAAGCCUUGGGGCUAAUACCCUCGAGGAAGGACAUCACCCACAGAAGAAGCACCGGCUAACUCCGUGCCAGCAGCCGCGGUAAUACGGAGGGUGCGAGCGUUAAUCGGAAUUACUGGGCGUAAAGCGCGCGUAGGCGGUCUGAUAAGCCGGUUGUGAAAGCCCCGGGCUCAACCUGGGAACGGCAUCCGGAACUGUCAGGCUAGAGUGCAGGAGAGGAAGGUAGAAUUCCCUGUGUAGCGGUGAAAUGCGUAGAGAUCGGGAGGAAUACCAGUGGCGAAGGCGGCCUUCUGGACUGACACUGACGCUGAGGUGCGAAAGCGUGGGUAGCAAACAGGAUUAGAUACCCUAGUAGUC
rnacentral:rRNA from 1 species